GGCUCAGAUUGAACGCUGGCGGCAUGCCUUACACAUGCAAGUCGAACGGCAGCACGGGAGCAAUCCUGGUGGCGAGUGGCGAACGGGUGAGUAAUAUAUCGGAACGUGCCCAGUAUGGGGGAUAACUGCUCGAAAGAGCAGCUAAUACCGCAUACGACCUGAGGGUNAAAGGGGGGGAUCGCAAGACCUCUCGCUAUUGGAGCGGCCGAUAUCAGAUUAGCUAGUUGGUGGGGUAAAGGCCUACCAAGGCAACGAUCUGUAGUUGGUCUGAGAGGACGACCAGCCACACUGGGACUGAGACACGGCCCAGACUCCUACGGGAGGCAGCAGUGGGGAAUUUUGGACAAUGGGCGCAAGCCUGAUCCAGCAAUGCCGCGUGCAGGAAGAAGGCCUUCGGGUUGUAAACUGCUUUUGUCAGGGAAGAAAUCCUCUAGGUUAAUACCCUUGGGGGGAUGACGGUACCUGAAGAAUAAGCACCGGCUAACUACGUG
rnacentral:rRNA from 1 species